UACGUAUGGUGCAAGCGUUAUCCGGAUUUACUGGGUGUAAAGGGAGCGCAGGCGGUGCGGCAAGUCUGAUGUGAAAGCCCGGGGCUCAACCCCGGUACUGCAUUGGAAACUGUCGUACUAGAGUGUUGGAGGGGUAAGCGGAAUUCCUAGUGUAGCGGUGAAAUGCGUAGAUAUUAGGAGGAACACCAGUGGCGAAGGCGGCUUACUGGACGAUAACUGACGCUGAGGCUCGAAAGCGUGGGGAGCAAACAGG
rnacentral:rRNA from 1 species